rnacentral:rRNA from 1 species
GACGAACGCUGGCGGCGUGCUUAACACAUGCAAGUCGAACGGAAAGGCCCUGCUUGCAGGGUACUCGAGUGGCGAACGGGUGAGUAACACGUGGGUGAUCUGCCCUGCACUUCGGGAUAAGCCUGGGAAACUGGGUCUAAUACCGGAUAGGAGCCAUUUUUAGUGUGAUGGUUGGAAAGUUUUUUCGGUGUAGGAUGAGCUCGCGGCCUAUCAGCUUGUUGGUGGGGUAAUGGCCUACCAAGGCGGCGACGGGUAGCCGGCCUGAGGGGGUGGACGGCCACAUUGGGACUGAGAUACGGCCCAGACUCCUACGGGAGGCAGCAGUGGGGAAUAUUGCACAAUGGGCGCGAGCCUGAUGCAGCGACGCCGCGUGGGGGAUGACGGCCUUCGGGUUGUAAACUCCUUUCGCUAGGGACGAAGCUUUUUGUGACGGUACCUAGAGAAGAAGCACCGGCUAACUACGUG